CCAAUAGCGUAUAUUAAAGUUGUUGCAGUUAAAAAGCUCGUAGUUGAAUUUCGGGAUCAGUACGUCGGUCGUGCCUCCGGUAUGUACUGGCGUUACUGAUUUCUCCCUUCUGAUGAACCAUGAUGUCAUUAAUUUGGUGUUGUGAGGAGUCAGGACUGUUACUUUGAAAAAAUUAGAGUGUUUAAAGCAGGCAAACGCUUGAAUACAUUAGCAUGGAAUAAUGAAAUAGGACGUUCGAACCUAUUUUGUUGGUUUCUAGGAUCAACGUAAUGAUUAAUAGGGAUAGUUGGGGGCAUUAGUAUUCAAUUGUCAGAGGUGAAAUUCUUGGAUUUAUUGAAGACUAACUACUGCGAAAGCAUUUGCCAAGGAUGUUUUCAUUAAUCAAGAACGAAAGUUAGGGGAUCGAAGACGAUCAGAUACCGUCGUAGUCUUAACCAUAAACUAUGCCGACUAGGGAUCGGAUGAAGUUAAUUUUUUAAUGACUCAUUCGGCGCCUUACG
rnacentral:rRNA from 1 species